rnacentral:rRNA from 1 species
UGGGGAAUAUUGGACAAUGGGCGCAAGCCUGAUCCAGCCAUGCCGCGUGAGUGACGAAGGCCUUAGGGUUGUAAAGCUCUUUUGUCGGGGACGAUAAUGACGGUACCCGAAGAAUAAGCUCCGGCUAACUUCGUGCCAGCAGCCGCGGUAAUACGAAGGGAGCUAGCGUUGUUCGGAAUCACUGGGCGUAAAGCGCACGUAGGCGGAUUUGUUAGUCAGAGGUGAAAUCCCGGGGCUCAACCUCGGAACUGCCUUUGAUACUGCAAGUCUUGAGUCCGAGAGAGGUGGGUGGAAUUCCUAGUGGAGAGGUGAAAUUCGUAGAUAUUAGGAAGAACACCGGUGGCGAAGGCGGCCCACUGGCUCGGUACUGACGCUGAGGUGCGAAAGCGUGGGGAGCAAACGGGAUUAGAUACCCCGAGUAGUCCCUGAGCGGGCUGGCAAGGCGCAU